rnacentral:rRNA from 1 species
UACGUAGGGGGCAAGCGUUGUCCGGAAUCAUUGGGCGUAAAGCGCGUGUAGGCGGCUUGAUAAGUCUGCUCUGAAAGCCCGGGGCUCAACCCCGGGAGGCGGGUGGAUACUGUCAAGCUCGAGUCCGGAAGAGGAGUGUGGAAUUCCUGGUGUAGCGGUGAAAUGCGCAGAUAUCAGGAGGAACACCGGUGGCGAAGGCGGGUCUCUGGGCAAUAACUGACGCUGAGGAGCGAAAGCGUGGGGAGCGAACAGG